rnacentral:rRNA from 1 species
GACGAACGCUGGCGGCGUGCUUAACACAUGCAAGUAGAACGCUGAAGGAGGAGCUUGCUUCUCCGGUUGAGUUGCGAACGGGUGAGUAACGCGUAGGUAACCUGCCUGGUAGCGGGGGAUAACUAUUGGAAACGAUAGCUAAUACCGCAUAACAGUAGAUACCGCAUGAUGUCUGCUUGAAAGGUGCAAUUGCAUGACUACCAGAUCGACCUGCGUUGUAUUAGAUAGUUGGUGUGGUAACGGCUCACCCAGGCGGCGAUACAUAGCCGACCUGAGAGGGGGAUCGGCCACACUGGGACUGGAACACGGCCCAGACUACUGCGAGAGGGAGCAGUAGGGAAUCUUCGGCAAUGGACGGAAGUCUGACCGAGCAACGCCGCGUGAGAGAAGAAGGUUUUCGGAUCGGAAAGCUCUGUUGGGAGAUAAGAACGUAUGUGAGAGUGGAAAGUGCACACUGUGACGGUAUCUUACCAGAAAGGGACGGCUAACUACGU